rnacentral:rRNA from 1 species
UACGUAGGGGGCUAGCGUUGUCCGGAAUCAUUGGGCGUAAAGCGCGUGUAGGCGGUCCGGUAAGUCCGCUGUGAAAGUCGGGGGCUCAACCCUCGGAUGCCGGUGGAUACUGUCGGGCUUGAGUACGGAAGAGGCGAGUGGAAUUCCUGGUGUAGCUGUGAAAUGCGCAGAUAUCAGGAGGAACACCCAUUGCGAAGGCAGCUCGCUGGGACGUUACUGACGCUGAGACGCGAAAGCGUGGGGAGCAAACAGG